rnacentral:rRNA from 1 species
CCUACGGGAGGCAGCAGUAGGGAAUCUUCCACAAUGGGCGAAAGCCUGAUGGAGCAACGCCGCGUGGGUGAAGAAGGUCUUCGGAUCGUAAAACCCUGUUGUUAGAGAAGAAAGAGCGUGCGAGUAACUGUUAACGUUUCGACGGUAUCUAACCAGACAGCCACGGCUAACUACGUGCCAGCUGCCGCGGUACUACGUAGGUGGCAAGCGUUAUCCGGAUUUAUUGGGCGUGAAGGUACCGCAGGCGGUCUUUUAAGUCUGAUGUGAAAGCCAUCGGCUUAACCGGAGUAGUGCAUUGGAUACGGGGAGACUUGAGUGCAGAAGAGGAGAGUGGAACUCCAUGUGUAGCGGUGAAAUGCGGAGAUAUAUGGAAGAACACCAGUGGCGAAGGCGGCUCUCUGGUCUGUAACUGACGCUGAGGUUCGAAAGCGUGGGUAGCAAACAGGAUUAGAUACCCGAGUAGUC